AGGAAUGUCGAUUUGUUGGAAAAAAGUUGUAAACAUUUUUCUCUCGUGUUGUUGAGUUUCAUUCUUUUGUGGUCGAAGGCUGUUGCGGUCAAGGUCCUCAACUAAAGUCUCAAAAGUUGUUCUAAUAAAGAUUAUGGCAGAAAUUGGUUCAAAUCAGCCUACUCACCCAACUUAGAGAAGCUUAGUAAUGAAAAAAAUCUAGUUCGAGGCAUUUGAUUUGAAUGGUUGUCAGAUUGAUCUCCAUAUCUGGAAAGAUUGAUUAUUAUGGUAUUAAAGGCAAGAAUUUAAUCAAGACUAGUUUCAAGCUAAGUGUUACCAUAUUAUUGGUACUUUGGAAGAAACCUCCACUUAUCUUAGUUUAGGCGUAAUAUUUAGUAUAUUUUUGUUAGAUUUUCUUUUUAUUGGACAUGUUUUAUUUUUAUUUAAGGAGCUUGUAAUGAGUUAUUAUCUUGGUGUAAUUUUAGUUCUUAAUUGUAUGGCCAUGGGUAUUUUAU